rnacentral:rRNA from 1 species
UACGUAGGUGGCGAGCGUUAUCCGGAAUGAUUGGGCGUAAAGGGCGCGUAGGCGGCCUGCUAAGUCUGGAGUGAAAGGUACCGGCUCAACCGGUACAGGCUCUGGAAACUGGCGGGCUAGAGAGCAGGAGAGGGCGGUGGAACUCCAUGUGUAGCGGUAAAAUGCGUAGAUAUAUGGAAGAACACCAGUGGCGAAAGCGGCUCUCUGGUCUGUAACUGACGCUGAGGUUCGAAAGCGUGGGUAGCAAACAGG